rnacentral:rRNA from 1 species
UGAGCAACCUGCCCUUGACCCUGGAAUAACAGCUGGAAACAGCUGCUAAUACCGGAUAUGACCUCCGAUGGCAUCAUCUGGAGGUGGAAAGCUCCGACGGUCAAGGAUGAGCUCGCGGCCUAUCAGCUAGUUGGUGUGGGUAAUGGCCCACAAGGCGACGACGGGUAGCCGGCCUGAGAGGGUGACCCGGCCACACGUGGGACUGAGACACGGCCCAGAUCCCGUAACGGGG